ACGAACGCUGGCGGCAGGCUUAACACAUGCAAGUCGAACGAAGGCUUCGGCCUUAGUGGCGCACGGGUGAGUAACACGUGGGAAUAUACCUCUCAGUGGGGGAUAACGUCGGGAAACUGACGCUAAUAUCGCAUACGCCCUUCGGGGGAAAGAUUUAUCGCUGAGAGAUUAGCCCGCGUCCGAUUAGCUAGUUGGUAAGGUAAUGGCUUACCAAGGCUACGAUCGGUAGCUGGUCUGAGAGGAUGAUCAGCCACACUGGGACUGAGACACGGCCCAGACUCCUACGGGAGGCAGCAGUGGGGAAUAUUGGACAAUGGGGGCAACCCUGAUCCAGCCAUGCCGCGUGAGUGAUGAAGGCCUUAGGGUUGUAAAGCUCUUUUACCAGGGAUGAUAAUGACAGUACCUGGAGAAUAAGCUCCGGCUAACUCCGU
rnacentral:rRNA from 1 species